rnacentral:tRNA from 1 species
GUGCCUGUAGCUCAGCCUGGAUAGAGCAUCAGCCUUCUAAGCUGUUGGUCAGGGGUUCAAAUCCCUUCGGGCACACCA